AAUCAACGCUGGCGGCAGGCCUAACACAUGCAAGUCGAACGCUCCGCAAGGGGAGUGGCGCACGGGUGAGUAACACGUGGGAACCUACCUUCUGGUACGGAACAACCAAGGGAAACUUUGGCUAAGACCGUAUACGACCUCCGGGUGAAAGAUUGAUCGCCGGAAGAGGGGCCCGCGUCCGAUUAGGUAGUUGGUGAGGUAACGGCUCACCAAGCCUUCGAUCGGUAGCUGGUCUGAGAGGAUGGCCAGCCACACUGGGACUGAGACACGGCCCAGACUCCUACGGGAGGCAGCAGUGGGGAAUAUUGGACAAUGGGCGCAAGCCUGAUCCAGCCAUGCCGCGUGAGUGAUGAAGGCCUUCGGUUG
rnacentral:rRNA from 1 species